CCUACGGGAGGCAGCAGUAGGGAAUAUUGGUCAAUGGGCGAAAGCCUGAACCAGCCAUGCCGCGUGCAGGAUGACGGCCCUAUGGGUUGUAAACUGCUUUUGUACGGGAAGAAUAAGCUCUACGUGUAGAGUGAUGACGGUACCGUAAGAAUAAGGAUCGGCUAACUCCGUGCCAGCAGCCGCGGUAAUACGGAGGAUCCAAGCGUUGUCCGGAUUUAUUGGGUUUAAAGGGUGCGUAGGCGGUUUGAUAAGUCAGUGGUGAAAGUUUGCGGCUUAACCGUAAAAUUGCCAUUGAAACUGUCAGACUUGAGUAUGGUUGAGGUAGCUGGAAUGUGUCAUGUAGCGGUGAAAUGCUUAGAUAUGAUACAGAACACCAAUUGCGAAGGCAGGUUACUAAACCAUAACUGACGCUGAGGCACGAAAGCAUGGGGAUCAAACAGGAUUAGAUACCCUGGUAGUCCAUGCUGUAAACGUUGAUUACUCGUUGUUGGCGAUACACUGUCNGNACUAAGACGAAGAGUAAGUAAGUACACCGNGGAGACGAACCGCGAGUUAGUUAACGUACGAAGAAGUAGAGGCGNGAGAGNGCGACGGACGACGACGAGGGAGGAGG
rnacentral:rRNA from 1 species